UUAUGGUGCUAAAAGAACAGCUGAAGCACUUAUCCCACUCCUCCAGUUAUCUGACUCACCGAGAAUUGUUAAUGUUUCGUCUGGCGCGGGGAAGUUAAAAAACAUACCAAACGAUUGGGCUAAAGGAGUUUUUACUGAUGCCGAAAACCUAACAGAAGAGAGAGUAGAUGAGGUACUGACUGAGCUUCUAAAAGAUUUCAAGGAGGGUUCACUUGAAAGUAAGGGCUGGCCCUCUAUGCCUGCCUACAUAGUCUCAAAAGCAGCACUGAACGCAUAUACAAGGAUUCUAGCAAAGAAGUACCUCAAUUUUCGCAUCAAUUCGGUCUGCCCUGGCUUUGUCAAAACAGAUAUGAACUGCAAUGUUGGCGUCUUGCCUGUCGAAGAAGGUGGUGCCAGGGUUGCGAAGUUUGCAUUGCUGCCCAAUGAUGGCCCUACUGGCUCCUUCUUUGUUCACAAUGAAGUGUCAGAUUUUUGAUUGAAGAUGAUCCAUUUAUGCAAAUUUAAUACGAUUCGCUUAUUGGGCAAUAUCUUGUACUGUAAUGUAAUUUUAAGUAUUUUGGUAUGUAUAUUGAUUGAAGGAUCAUGCUUAUUGUGUACACGUACCAAGUACCCUAGAAAGAUCAGUGGCUGGAAUUAAGGGGUUUGACGAAGUAGCAUUCUCCUUGUUCCAAUCAAGGGGAGAGAGUCUUGGGUAAGGCAGCCGCUUGCGAAAUCACACUCACAAAGAGUCAAGACCCACAUUCAGAGGACUCUCACCCUUAUUUAAGUGUGCUACACUGCUACCGGUGCGGCGGUUUUAUUUAAGAUUUUUUCCUAUCAAAAGGUGAAAGUUGUCACAAGUAAAUUAAUAUCCAUGUUUGUACAAGGAUAUUAUUAGUCAAUUAGAAAUUUUCUGGGCUGAAAGUCUUGCAUGCGAAACUGCUUGCCACUGCCACCACCAAAAUUCUUCAACAACGUGAGCACUUGCGUCACCACGCCCCCAUUAUUUAUCUGAAUAUGAUUCCCAGAAUUCAAGGGCUUUUGAAGAACAUUUCAUUAUAAAAGAAAAGAAGGCUCUUGCUGUUUAAUACACGUCUCAAUUUUCACAGACCGUCCCGUUUCGAAUCUAUCAAUGGCAGAAGUAACAAAGAGGUAGCACUUUAGACUUCUUUAUGCUUUGUUUCCUUGUCCGAUUUCCAAUCCCUUUAAUUGUUUUUGUUUCUAUGAAAUUGGUGUUUGUGUUUUCUUAGGUAUGCAGUUGUUACUGGAGCAAACAAAGGCAUAGGAUUGGAAACUGUCAGGCAGUUGGCCUCAAAGGGGUUCACCGUAGUCUUAACUGCCCGAGAUGAGAAGAGGGGUCUUGAAGCUGUUGAGAAACUCAAAGAGUCUGGCCUCUCUGGUCAAGUGGUUUUUCAUCAACUUGAUGUAGCUAACCCUGCUACUGUUGCUUCCUUGGCAAACUUCAUCAAAAUCCAGUUUGGGAAACUCGAUAUCUUGGUAUAUAUAUGAUCAUAGCUGCAGGUUUCUUCAAAAAAGUUUCUGUCUUUUGAAUCCAACUCGUAAUCCAAAUGCGAUUUAGUGGAAGGAGAAGAAAUAUGGCAUUGGAGAAUAAAAACGGCAAACCAAGUAAUACUAGCUUAAUAAUAUCAUCAAGAAGUUAAUCUUUGAAAUAAUUAGAAGUCCUAGGCUUUUUGAAGAACAAAACAAGUUUCACAUAACUACCAGUUGUGGAAGGUUUUACUUUCAAAUCUAACUCUAUGUCUGCCACUCUGUUUUUGUUUCUUGGAAUCUUUUCAUAUAUGAUAUAAUCCCUUUCUGUACAAUUUACAAGUACCCUAGUAAGAUCAGUGGCUGGAGUUGAGGGGUUUGGCAAAGUAGCAUAAUUAUUGUGCUUCUUUAAAGGGAUUGGCCUUUAUGGUUGGUAAUAGUAUGGUUGUAACAACAAAGAGAUUGUCAGAGUAAUCAGAUAGUGAAACAGACAGUGAAACAGUAUGGUUGUAUCAACUUUCUUUUCAUUUCAUUUUCUAUAAAAACAUGUCUGUUCUUUUCUUUGCUAAAAGAAAACAGAUAGUGAAACAGUUGGACUCUGCACAGGUGAACAAUGCAGGGAUUGGUGGAAGUAUAGUAGAUGGUGAUGCUUUAAAAGCUGCUGUAGCCUCUGGUGCCAUGGUAAGUUUUUUGCAUAAUUUUUAUCAAUAGCUAUCAAAAACUAAAAGCUUCAAUGAAUGUGACAAAGUUAGAAUAUAAACUGAUCUGUGGUUUGGCAAACUUUAAUCAACAUUUUUCUUGUUUUGGGUGGGUGUGUAAGUGGUGGGCAAUAGGCACCUUAAUAAUAAGUUUGCUUUUACUGAUACAGGAAAGAGGAGAAGUUGAUUUGAGUAAACUAAUGACUGAAACUUAUGAGUUAACAGAAGAAUGCUUGCAAAUAAACUAUUAUGGUGCUAAAAGAACAGCUGAAGCACUUAUCCCACUCCUCCAGUUUUCUGACUCACCGAGAAUUGUUAAUGUUUCAUCUUCCAUGGGGAAGUUAGAGAAGAUACCAAGCGAUCGGGCUAGAGGAGUUUUUACUGAUGCUGAAAACCUAACAGAAGAGAGAGUAGAUGAGGUACUGACCGAGCUUCUAAAAGACUUCAAGGAGGGUUCACUUGAAAGGAAGGGCUGGCCUUCUUCUAUGCCUGCCUAUACAGUCUCAAAAGCAGCACUGAACGCAUAUACAAGGAUUUUAGCAAAGAAGUACCUCAAUUUUCGUAUCAAUUCAGUCUGCCCGGGCUUUGUCAAAACAGAUAUAAACUACAAUGUCGGUGUCCUACCUGUCGAAGAAGGGGCUGCAAGGGUUAUGAAGUUAGCAUUGCUGCCCAAUGAUGGCCCUACUGGCUCCUUCUUUGUUCACAAUGAAGUGUCGGAUCUUUGAUUGAAGAAGAUCCAUUUAUGCAAAUUUAAUACGAUUCGCUUAUUGGGCAACAUCUUGUACUGUAAUGUAAUUUUAAGUAUUUUGGACACCAACAGAUCCUUUUGACGUUCUUUCUACAUUCAAUAAGAGGAUGGCAUAUAUGAUGUUUUAUCUAUGUAAAAUUUCACCAUAGCACACUGUUUAAAUAACAAAAGAAAAGGUCAGGUGUUUCUGGCCUAACCGGAAGCCUUCCCCUUUGGUUUUAGGGGAAAGACUUAGCUGUCCUAGGGUGACUACUCCUUGUUCUUUCCUGUAGCAUCUUGUGAUGCAUGCAAGUUUCUUGCGUUUUGAGAAGAGAGACAACGCUGCCAAAUAAAGGCUAAAAGAGUAUUGAGUAAGGCAGUCGCAUCUGAAAUCACAUACACAAGGAGUUUUUUCUUCUUUUAGAAAUGGAAUUCAUUCAUAGAAUCAAAGUAGCGUAUAUAGAACGACACGAAACAGUGACCUAGUUAAAACAUUGUUUAGGGACAAAUUCCAGGGUAGGAAAGAGUACCACAUAUAUCAUUGACUAACAAGAGAGUCUAAAACAAUCACGCAUGACCAAUGCUAGAGCAAGAUAAAAUAAAACAGCAAACUGACACAUAGACCUCCGACGAGAACACUAUAACACAGUCCAAUUGCCAAAAGAGUCAUACUAUGAAAUUAUAGUCCUUUUGACGCAGCGAGAUAUAGGGAUAGGGAGAUCGAACGAUAACCCUACAAUUAACAAUGUCGGAAUCCACCAACAAACUGAAAUCCAUCAGAGAAAUUGAGUAAAACCUCAAAUAUAUUGAUUGAAAAUAAGAUGAAUAAACUGACAAAUACAAUGCCAUGUGUUGGCUUAAAUAGAAAACAAAGAAACCCUAAAACAGUAGGAAACCCUAUGUUCUAGCAUAUUCCUAAACUUACCUAACAAGAAAAUAAUAAAAAUAAUAGCUCAAAAUCAUAAUAACAAAAUAAUAUCCUAAUAGAUAACUUAUUCUUCCAAAUAUAAAAUAAAACAUUAAAUUAAAUACAAAUCUUAACAGAAUCAUAAUUGUUUCAAACUUCCUUAAUCAAUUAGAAAAUCCCAACGAUAUGCCUUCCUUCUUUUCCUAGCGCCAUAAUUGACAUUUAAUUGGAAUUUUCCUCUCUUGCAUGAUUUUCUUACAACUUUGAGCCACUCCACUUUAUUUUAAUUAAUUUUUCACACUUCGUCCUACAUCACCUUUGCACAGCCACAAGACAUUGAGAGUACCCGACAGAGAACACAAUACACCAAGAAGAAAGAAAACAUCCACUAAGCACACCAUCUCUAGCCAACUCCAAUAGCAAUUGGUGAUGAAAGAAGAGAAAUAUGCGAGGAACAACACAAAGAAGAGACUAAUCACGCAAACAGGCCAGGAAAGAAAAUAAAAUAAAAAAGCCCUCAAGCAUGCUGUAUCAUCUGAACACUAACAAAGAAACCUUCUAUGAAAACGUAGUCCUUAAGACAGGCGGAGAAUCAAAGAUUAACUAAGAGGAGAACGAAGAAAACACCACGCAAUGCAACAAUAACAAAAUUGGUCUAGCCAUUUAACCUGAAUACAGGGAUCAAGCACAAGAGCAUUCGCCAGAUGCCAAGCCCACGAAUGCUCCAAGAACACAUUAAGGAAUGCUUCAAGAACACAUUAAGGAAGGCUCCUAGGAGAUUCCACUUGACCAAUCCCCAUAGGUUUGUUAGGACGGACACCAACAUCACCCAAAUUCGCAGUCCCAAUUGCAGAGUAACUAGCCAAACCUGUAAAGAUGGGUAAAAGUGAAGAAAACCUAUAGAAAAUCAUGAGUUUCAUUUGAACAUCAACAUAGAUAAAUAAAAUCAUGGCAACGGAAGCUUAAGCAUGCAUCUAUGAGUUCAACAACAAAAAUUUUCCCAUAUAUCUUUUAAGCCAAGUGAUGGUUGUACUAUUUUCCUAGAACCUACUUCUAAGAAGAUUGGAAGGAGGAGUUAUUUUUGGUGCGUGCUUUCAACCCUAUGAUCGAAUUCCACCAAAGUUGUUGAAGCUUGAAUGACUCCUUCAAAAACUCUAACUUGAGAGGUUCUCCAAAAGUCACCAAAAUAGGUAACCUCUAAGUCUCUUCACCAACUAGAGCUUGAGAAGAAGAUGGUGAGCUUAGUGAGUGGAUGAUCCUAGUAAUCCAUCACUAAGAUAGUAUGAAAGUGUAGAGAGACUUUUGGAAUACUAGAGCUUUCUCUCUCUCUCUUGAUUUUCACUAAUGCUAAGGCUUCAAAAAAAUGAUAGUCAUCUUUUACUUGAGUCAACAAGUUGACUCUAGUAACCAAAAGCCCAUAUGAACGCGUAUCCCUUGAAAUUGGGCCUUUGGGCUCAAUUUUGUUUAAGUUGUCAUACAACCCAUAAAGCCCAAUGAGCCUAGAAUUCAAAAUUCCCCGUUUAAAGCCUAUUCCAACAUUAUGUGUCAUUUAAAUUAAUUCCAUAAUUAAUUUUCCCUUAACAAAUUAACUAAGCUUAAUUGAUCUCUUCAAUUCAUCAUCUCCAUAACGGUUUCUCAAAUAACUCUAGUUUAACAGUGUGCGAUCCAAUAGGUUCUAAUUAGCAAGGUCGUGGGCAAUUUGAACUCUUCGUAAUUGAUUUGUGAAUUAAAACCCCCUUUUAAUUCUCCAUAUUAGCUAGGAUCAUUAGUCCUUAGGGCUUCAACCAUGCAUGAGUGACACCUAGCAGUAUGUCAUGAAUAUCCAAGCUAAGUAGAAUAAGUAGAGAACCUAUUCAGUUGGAAUUACAAUGCAAUACGGUCUUUCCCUAUUACAAUACUCUUAAUCUCAUUGCUAGGGCAUGGUGCGUGUCAAACCCUAAUGAGAUUGUCAAGUCUUAUAUGAUUUGUAUUAGUAUGACUAGAACAUCUUUCUAGGUCAUACCGAAUACUCUGAUAUGAGAUUUGCUUAAUCAUAUCUUCCGAGCAUUCUCAUUCUUUACUGAAGGAUACCGAUUCCAUGUUGUACACACACAUGUCUACAUGAGUUAAUCAAGAACCCCAACAAUGCUUGUACCACGUCCGUGAUUAAGACAUGUAUUUAUAGCAUUAUUAAAGAUCCACAACCUUCCCAUAAGACAAGCAUGGUGCCUCAGGACUAAGUACUAAUUUGCAUUAUUGCAACUUGGAGUUUCUUGUUUCACAUAUAAGUAAAAUUUCCAUAUAAGAAACUCUCGUUUGAUAAGUGUCAUUACAAUAAGAAAUGCUAGAGGUGAACAUGGCUUGAAGUUUGAAAUUAAUUUCUGACACAAUCAUUCUGUCCAGCCUUGCUUCAUAUAUAACAGAUGAAGAUAUCCAAAAGGGCAUCUUGUAUCCAUCUAUUCACAGAUAAUAUUCUCAGCUCCUUGCAGCAUUAAGAGCUCGUCUGAUUUUUAUCAAAAAUGGCAUCGCAAUUCUCAACUGCUGUAACAACUGAGAGGAGGGUGGGGCAACUGGUUGAUUGUAUUACCCGACUGUUUCUAUUGUAUAUGGUGCAGUAUCCGACAUAUAACAGUGGAGGUUGGAGCUGCUGUCCUGCGGGCAGCUGUUGCAGAAGAACUGGCCGAAGGACAUUGUGAUGUGGUUCCCAGAGAGCUCAUGUACAUGUCAAAAGUAAGAACUGAUAUUCAAUCUUCCCUCCACAAAAUACAAAAGCUCUUUUUAAAACACACAAAAUGUCUAAGCGAAUUUUGAUUUAGAAAGCAAGCUCUACAUGUUAGACUACUUUUGCAAAAGGUCUGAACAUGCCAAAGAGGACGUAUUUAGGUGAAGGCGUAUACAUACAGAAAAUGCUAUUCUAAUAAACAUCUAGUCAAACAACCAUAACCAAGAACCUUGAAAAUUGCUUUGCUAGCUUUUGCUUAUAUUGCCAGAGUUUUAGAAGAAAAAUUGUGAUUUUCCUGAAAUCUAUUUUGGUUUUUAUCUUCUUGUUACAGGAGGAGAGUCUGGAAUAUGUGAGUCGCAGCAUGUGGUUCCCAGUUUAUAGCCCUCUUGUUCAUGAAAAAUGAGGCUUGGUUUUGUAUUAUCGUACGCAGUAGGCUGUCGUUGGAGGCUAUAUUUUUUUUGCAGCUCAUAUAUAUCAAUAGGUCUGCAGCUAAGCAACUUAUUCUUGGUCUUUCUUGGAUUCGUAGUUUACAAGCUCAGAGAAGUAGAAGGCAAAGAAGGGAACGGAAAUAAGGCCCUCUUACUAAACUGAAAAGAAAGUAGAAGCCCAUUUGUUUGAACAAUGCAUAAUUACGUGACUAAUAUUAGUGCAAUGUCUUUGUGUUAACUUUCUUUUACGUUAACUUAAUAACAAAGCAAACUGCACCCAAAAAAAAAAAAAAAAGUUCAGGUGUUUUUGGCCUCACAGUAAGAUCCCAGUUGACUUGACCUUCCCCUUUGGUUUUGGGCCAAAGGACUUAGCCGUCCUAGGGUGACUACUGCUAGUUUCUAUAAACGCCGAGAGAGUCUUGUGUAGGGCAGCCACAUGUCAAAUUACACUCGCAAAGAGUUAAGACCUACAUUCAGAGGGUUUUGCCUUUAUUUGAGUGUGCUACCGGUGAGGUGGUCCUAUCUAAGAUUUUUAACUAUCAAUGUAUGUAUUUUAAAUCUAUUAGGGAUGAAAAUGUAAGGGAGAAAAAGACAGAAUUUUCGAAAGGUGGUGUGUAUGUAAGAUUUAUUUCUUAUGAAGUAAUUUGAUCCAUGUUUCUAUAGGAUAUUAUUAUUUACAUUAUUAGUCAAUUAGAGUAGUCAAAACCACCAAUCUUUGCAUGCGAAACUGCUGACUCUGCAACUGCCUCCACCAAAAUUCUCCAACAACGUGGGCACUUGUGUCACCACGCCCCCAUUCUUUUCCUUGAAAAUCUUAAAAACAAAAAUCCAAACAAAUCACUCUCAAGCUAACCACACACGAGCCAAGAACACCAAGAAGUUCUUGCUCAAUAGGAAAGAAUACACUAAAAACAAUACAAAGAAAUAAACCUCUCACAAACACAAGGAACCAAUAAAGAAGACUCAACCUUUGAAAUGGCUUGAUCUUUCAUCGACAUCUUGUGUAGCCAAAGAUGAGUUUAUCUCCACCUUCAUGGUGAUGUUCUCUAGUGUUUCUCUCUUUGUGGAAGUAUCUCUCACUUCUAUUUUAGCCUCUCUGAGCAAUGGUGCUCAUGGCUCCAAAUGGUGAGGCACAAAUGGCCACUCUUCUUUUGCAUGCACCAUUUCUUCCUUUUAUAAACCCAUGCAGCUCUCCAAAUGAGAGCAACCACAUGCCAACGAAGCCACGUGAUGGCCAGCCAAAGAAGGAAAAAAUUCCUUCAUCAUUGCACCACCACCAUGCAUUGUCUCUCACCAAAGACAUCAUCAUUCCAUGCAAUAUUAUUGGCCACCAACUUCAACAAUUGCGGCUUCCCAUUUUAAUCUUCCUCUAACAGGUUGGCCACGUUAUUGGUCAUUAGAGUAAUCAAAUUCACCAGUCUUUGCAUGCGAAACUGCUUACUCUGCUCUGCUACUGCCUCCAUCAAAACUCUCCAACAACGUGGGCACUUGCGUCACCACGCCCCAUUAUUUUCCUCGAAAAUCUUAAAAACAAAAGAGUAGUCAAAUUCGCCACUGCAACUGCUUACUCUGCUCUGCAAAAGCCUCCACCAAAAUUCUCCAACAACGCGGGCACUUGCGUUACCACGGCGCCAUUUUUUUCAUUGAAAAUCUUAAAAACAAAAAUCCAAACAAAUAUUGGUCCCUCUUUCACCACAAUUUCCAAUUACUUCUAAGAAAACAUUAGAAGCUUCCUCCCUCCAGUGUGUACAUAGGAACAAAAGAAUCAAUAAUUUUCUUCUUCUUACAAAGGCUGCUGUCCUCCACCAUGAAGAAAUAAAUUUGAUUUCUUCUUACAAAGGUUCUUAGACACGUGGGUGCAAUUUGGGCUAACAAAAUUAACAAGGGCUGCUCAAAACACAUCACAUGCCAUCAAAUUUGAACCAAUUUCAACACAAAAUUCAAAGGAUUUCCAAGAACAUUUCACUAUAAAAGAAAAGAAGGGUUCCUUCUGUUUAAUACACAUCUCAAUUCUCACAGACCGUCCCGUUUCGAAUAUAUCAAUGGCAGAAGCAACAAAGAGGUAGCACUUUAGACUUCUUUAUGCUUUGUUUCCUUGCCCGAUUCCCAAUCCCAUUAAUUGUUUUUGUUUCUAUGAAUUUGGUGUUUGUAUUUUCUUAGGUAUGCAGUUGUUACUGGAGCAAACAAAGGCAUGGGAUUGGAAACUGUAAGGCAGUUGGCCUCAAAUGGGUUCACCGUAGUCUUAACUGCCCGAGAUGAGAAGAGGGGUCUUGAAGCUGUUGAGAAACUCAAAGAGUCUGGCCUCUCAGGUCAAGUGGUUUUUCAUCAACUUGAUGUGGCUAACCCUGCUACUGUUGCUUCUUUGGCAGACUUCAUCAAAACCCAGUUUGGGAAACUCGAUAUCUUGGUAUGUAUAUGAUCCUAGCGGCAAGUUUCUUGAAAAAGUUUAUCUUGGUAUGUAUAUGAUCCUAGCGGCAGGUUUAAUAGAAGGAGAUUAAAUAUGGAAUCAUAUAGAAAAUGAAAUUGGAGAAUAAAAAUAGCAAACCAAGUAAUAACUAGCGUAAUAAUAUCAUCAACAAGUUAAUCUUUGAAAUGAUUAGAAGUCUUCGGCUUUUUGAAGAACAAAACAAGAUUCACGUAACUACCAGUUGUGGAAGAUUUUACUUUCAAAUCUAACUCUAUGUCUGCCACUCUGUUUUUGUUUCUCGGAAUCUUUUCAUAUUUGAUAUGAUCCCUUUCUGUACAAUUUACAAGUACCCUAGAAAGAUCAGUGGCUGGAAUUAAGGGGUUGGCAAAGUAGCAUAAUUAUUGUGCUUCUUUAAAGGCAUUGGCCUUUAUGGUUGGUAUGGUUGUAAAAACAAAGAGAUUGUCAGAGUACUCAGAGGAUCUAUCAACUUUCUUUUCAUUUCAUUUUCUAUAUAUAAAAAAAUCUGUUCUUUUCUUUGCUAAAAGGAAACAGAAAGUGAAACAGUUGGACUCUGCACAGGUGAACAAUGCAGGGAUUUAUGGAAGCAUAUUAGACGGUGAUGCUUUUAAAGCUGUUAUAGCCUCUGGUGCCAUGGUAAGUUUUUUGCAUAAUUUUUAUCAUAUAAAAAACUAAAAGCUUCAAUGUAUGUGCCAAAGUGAGAAUUUAAACUGAUCUGUAAGUGGUGGGCAAUAAGCACCAUAAUAAUAAGUUUGUUUUGGCUGAUACAGGAAAGAGGAGAAGUUGAUUUGAGUAAACUAGUGACUGAAACUUAUGAGUUUGCAGAAGAAUGCUUGCAAAUAAACUAUUAUGGUGCUAAAAGAACAGCUGAAGCACUUAUCCCACUCCUCCAGUUAUCUGACUCACCGAGAAUUGUUAAUGUUUCGUCUGGUGCGGGGAAGUUAAACAACAUACCAAGCGAUUGGGCUAAAGGAGUUUUUACUGAUGCCAAAAACCUAACAGAAGAGAGAGUAGAUGAGGUACUGACUGAGUUUCUAAAAGAUUUCAAGGAGGGUUCACUUGAAAGUAAAGGCUGGCCUUCUUCUAUGCCUGCCUAUACAGUCUCAAAAGCAGCACUGAACGCAUAUACAAGGAUUCUAGCAAAGAAGUACCUCAAUUUUCGUAUCAAUUCGGUCUGCCCUGGCUUUGUCAAAACAGAUAUAAACUGCAAUGCCGGCGUCUUGCCUGUCGAAGAAGGUGGGGCCAGGAUUGUGAAGUUAGCAUUGCUGCCCAGUGAUGGCCCUACUGGCUCCUUCUUUGUUCACAAUGAAGUGUCAGAUCUUUGAUUGAAGAUGAUCCAUUAUGCAAAUUUAAUACGAGUCACUUAUUGGGCAACAUCUCGUACUGUAAUGCAAUUUUAAGUAUUUUGGUAUGUAUAUUGAUUGAAGGAUCUAGUGCAUUGUUUACAUUUCUACCAUUCAUAUGUUAAUGUGCAAAAAUGGUAAACUGAUUUAGUAUGUAAUUGCUGGUUUAGUGUUAUACUUAGCUUAUAGGCUAAGCUGUCUAUAAUAGUCAAAAUGGUUUGUUAAGUCUUAUAGGACUUGACAGGACAGGUGUCAUAGUCUUACUAAUAGUGUAGUUGGAUGGUUGAGAUUGAAGCUAGGAUUUGUCUAGCUCUCUCUCUCUUCUAACAGUAAUAUGAGCUGUGAGUGAAACAGCUCGAUAUACCCAACGAAAUACAAAAAGUUUUACCGAGCAUUUUAUUUCCUUCACUCUCUUUUUCAAUAUACUCAUUCCUCCAUUUUUAUCAGAAGCUUAUUAAACACUAACAUGGCCUCAGAGCCAGGUUGGGUCUGAAUUUCUGGGCAUUGUGACUGUGAGGUUAGGUUUGAAUCUGUGAGCAAAAGCUCGUUGUGUGAUUCUUGAGCUCAAAUCAGUAAUCUAGACUAACAUGUCUGGAUCUGGAGGAGGAGAACUCAGGGCACCCAUUUUUAAUGGUGAAAAUUUCAAUUUCUGGCAAAUCAAAAUGAAAACCAUCUUCCGUUCGCACGAGCUGUGGGAUCUUGUGGAGAAUGGGUACAAAACUCCGACGAAGGAGGGGGAGGAGCUCACGGAGGUAGAGAGGAAGCUGAUGCGUGAGAACUUGGUGAAGGACGCUAGAGCUCUGGGUAUCAUCCAAGGGGCUGUAUCAGAUCAAAUUUUUCCACGAAUUGCAACUUAGGAAUCUACAAAGGCUGCGUGGGAUAUUCUAAAACAAGAAUUUGUGGGUGAUAAGCAGGUAAGAUCUGUGAAACUUCAGGGUCUUAGGCGUGAUUUUGAAUAUACUCGGAUGAGUGAUAAUGAAUCAUUGUUUGGAUAUAUUGCUAAGUUGUUUGAUCUGAUCAACCAAAUGAAGAGCUAUGGUGAGGAUCUGAGCAAUCAACGAAUUGUUCAGAAACUACUUAUUAGUCUGCCUAAGUCCUAUGAUAGUAUUGCAGCUGUGAUAGAGAAUACAAAAGAUUUAGACACUAUUGAUGCUCAGGAUGUUGUUGCUAUUUUAAAAGGAUAUGAGCAGAGGCAGGGGCGGAACUAUUCAUAGGCCUGAGAUGGCCUGGGCCCCCCCAUCAUCUUCUAAACUCUUUGAAUGUAUAAAGAGUAUAGCAUAGAUUGCACAAAAAAUCCUAUAAUUUUAAAGCUUGUGGCCCCCCCAAAUAUUAAACUCUACCUCCGCCACUGAGCAGAGGCUUGAUAGGCAUGGUGACAAUAGUGCAGAGAAGGCUUUUGCUAGCUUCAACGUUGGAUCAAAGGCAACACGGUCUAAUGGUCACACCAGUAAGUCUCAGAAGAAUGCCAAACCACACGGGCAGCAAUGGGGCAACAAGGGUGAUGGAGGUAAUAAGUCUAAUUCCUCAAUGAAAAAUGAGACAUACAACAUUGGAAAUAAAUGCAAAUUCUGUGAUAAAUUGCACUAUGGAGAGUGUUGGUUUAAGAACAAGGUCAAGUGUCACAAGUGUAACAAAAUUGGGCAUAUUGCAAAAUAUUGUCAUACAAACAAGGCUGUGCAGCAUAUGAACUUUGCUAAUCAUGUUGAAGAAACAGGAAACUUAUUCUUUGCUAAUCAUUCUGGAGAAGUAAAGAAGAUGAGUGAUGAAUGGUACAUAGAUAGUGGAUGUAGCAAUCAUAUGACAUCCAGGGAAGACUUGCUUGUAGACAUUGUCAGAGAAGUGAAAGCAAAGGUUCAAGUAGGCAAUGGAGUUUUGGUUGAAGUGGCAGGAAAAGGGACAUUGAUCAUUGAAACAAUGAAGGGUAAGAGGUAUAUAAAGGAGGUUAUGCUUGUACCUAGUCUAGCUGAAAAUUUGCUAAGUGUAGGACAGAAGACAGAGCAUGGCUAUUUUCUUGUAUUUGGAGAUCACAAGGUUGACAUCUUCGAUGAUAGUUCCUUAAGUAACAUGGUGGUAAGUGUAAAGCAAAAGGGGAACAGGUGUUUUCCUUUAACUUUCAACAAAAUCAAGGUGAUUGCCUUGAAAACAAAUGUGCAAGAAUGCUCCAAGAUAUGGCACAAGAGGUUUGGGCACUUAAACUUUCGAAGCCUCAAGCUACUGCAGAGCCAAGCAAUGGUAUUGGGGCUGCCUGAAAUCCAAAACGGUGAAGUGUUGUGCCACAGUUGUGUAUUGUGGAAGGGUCACAGGGAGCCAUUUCCUAAGGAAUCAAAGUGGAGAGCCAAGGAGCCAUUAGAAUUGAUUCAUUCAGACUUGUGUGGUCCAAUGCAAACAGCAAGCCUAGGUGGAAAUAAAUAUUUUAUCACAUUCAUAGAUGAUUUUUCAAGGAUGUGCUGGGUUUAUUUUCUGAGAAACAAGUCCGAGACAUUCCAUGUGUUCAAGAAAUUCAAAGUAAUGGUGGAGCUUCAAUCCGGAUACCAUGUGAAGAGGUUGAGGAUUGAUCGGGGAGGAGAAUACAUCUCAGCUGAUUUUCUCCAGUUUUGUGAAAAUCUGGGAAUAGAAAGGCAACUCACAGUUGCUUAUUCUCCACAGCAAAAUGGCGAUGCGGAGAGGAAAAACAGAACCAUUGUAGAAAUGGCAAAGUGCAUGAUUCAUGACAAGGAGCUUCCCUACACGCUUUGGUGUGAGGCAGUGAAUACCUCUGUGUAUUUACUUAAUAGAAGUCCAACCCGAGCUUUGGAGAAUACUACACCUUUUGAGAAGUUUAGUGGGAGAAAGCCUGGAGUUAAACAUCUCAAGGUGUUUGGCUCGGUGUGUUACUCACUUAUUCCUGGAAAGUUAAGGCAUAAGCUAGAAGCAACAAGUGCCAUAUGAGUUUUUAUUGGUUAUGGUAGAUGUGAGAAGGGAUAUAGAAUAUUGAAUCCUGCAACUCAGAAGGUUUUGCUGUCAAGGGAUGCGGUUUUUGAUGAGCAUGGAAAAUGGAACUGGGAGCAACACAAAGUGAAAGAAAUCUGCAUUCCACUUCCUACAGAUGAACUGUCAGAUAUGAGAACAGCUGAAUCAAAAGAAGAACCUACUUUCCAAGAACCUGAAACAGAAGAAGAACCUGCAGAUGAUCCCUCAGUUGAUGACACACCUUUGAGGUACAGAAAUUUGAGUGAGAUCUAUGCAAGUUGCCAUUCAUGGAUAGUGGAGCCUGAGAACUUUGAUGAAGCUGCACGGGAUGAAGCUUGGAAGAAGGCAAUGGAAAAUGAGAUGAACAUGGUUGAGAAGAAUCAGACGUGGGAAUUGGUAAAUAGACCUUUCAACAAACCUAUAAUUGGAGUAAAAUAGGUGUACAAGACUAAGUUGAACUUGGAUGGUUCGGUUCAAAAGCAUAAAGCUAGACUAGUUGCAAAGGGCUAUGCACAAAAGCCUGGAAUAGAUUAUAAUGAAACCUUUGCACCAGUGGCAAGGUUGGAUACUAUACGAACUCUCAUUGCCUUGGCUGCAAAGAAUAGUUGGAAAAUGUAUCAAUUAGAUGUGAAAUCAGCUUUUCUAAAUGGAGUGCUUCAAAAGGAGGUGCAUGUAGAGCAGCCCGAUGGUUUUAUUGUGCAAGGAGAAGAGGAUAAAGUGUAUAAAUUGCACAAAGCCUUGUAUGGCUUGAAACAGGCUCCUAGAGCCUGGUAUGGAGAAAUAGACUCUUAUCUCGUGCAAUGUGGUUUUAAAAGGAGCACAAGUGAGGCAACAUUAUAUGUUAAAGGCAGGGGAACCUCGGAUUUGGUCAUAGUAUCUAUCUAUGUGGAUGAUAUAGUUUAUACAGGGAAUUCUCAAGAGCUAAUGCAAGAUUUCAAGACUAAUAUGAUGCAGAGGUAUGAGAUGACUGAUUUGGGUUUGCUACAUCACUUUCUAGGAAUGGGAAUUAUCCAAAGUGAAGACUACAUUUUCAUAUACCAGAAGAAAUAUGCUUCCACACUUUUGGAAAGGUUUGGUCUGCAGGAUUGUAAACCGGUUGGUAUUCCUCUUGUACCAACUGAUAAAUUGAAGAGAGAUGAUGAAAGUGGAGCUUCAAAUGAAGCUGAAUACAGAAAACUAGUGGGAAGUCUACUCUACCUCACUUUCUCGCUCUGAUAAAACUCUUUUAAGAUAAAGCUCUCACACUCUCAAAUUUCUCUCUCUCUAUUUUCUCUUUGGAUACCGUAUUCUACAACUGAAUGAGCAAGCCUAUUUAUAGUCAAAUUGGGUGGCUUCAUGUGCAUCUCCAAAGUCUUCUUCUCCCAACAUCAUCAUUUUCCUUUUGACUAUCAUUUUCUUAUUUUCUUUGUGUGGGCUCCAUCUACAUCCUUUACAACAUAAUCAACAAUUUUCUACUUCUUAUUAUUUAUUUGAAUAUGAACCUCAAAAUUCAAAGGCCUUCCAAGAAAAUUUCACUAUAAAAGAAAAGAAGGCUCUCCUUCUAUUUAAUACACAUCUCAAUUCUCACAGGCCGUCCCGUUUCGAAUCUAUCAAUGGCAGAAGCAACAAAGAGGUAGCACUUUAGACUUCUUUAUGCUUUGUUUCCUUGUCCGAUUUCCAAUCCCUUUAAUUGUUUUUGUUUCUAUGAAAUUGGUGUUUGUGUUUUCUUAGGUAUGCAGUUGUUACUGGAGCAAACAAAGGCAUAGGAUUGGAAACUGUCAGGCAGUUGGCCUCAAAGGGGUUCACCGUAGUCUUAACUGCCCGAGAUGAGAAGAGGGGUCUUGAAGCUGUUGAGAAACUCAAAGAGUCUGGCCUCUCUGGUCAAGUGGUUUUUCAUCAACUUGAUGUAGCUAACCCUGCUACUGUUGCUUCCUUGGCAAACUUCAUCAAAAUCCAGUUUGGGAAACUCGAUAUCUUGGUAUAUAUAUGAUCAUAGCUGCAGGUUUCUUCAAAAAAGUUUCUGUCUUUUGAAUCCAACUCGUAAUCCAAAUGCGAUUUAGUGGAAGGAGAAGAAAUAUGGCAUUGGAGAAUAAAAACGGCAAACCAAGUAAUACUAGCUUAAUAAUAUCAUCAAGAAGUUAAUCUUUGAAAUAAUUAGAAGUCCUAGGCUUUUUGAAGAACAAAACAAGUUUCACAUAACUACCAGUUGUGGAAGGUUUUACUUUCAAAUCUAACUCUAUGUCUGCCACUCUGUUUUUGUUUCUUGGAAUCUUUUCAUAUAUGAUAUAAUCCCUUUCUGUACAAUUUACAAGUACCCUAGUAAGAUCAGUGGCUGGAGUUGAGGGGUUUGGCAAAGUAGCAUAAUUAUUGUGCUUCUUUAAAGGGAUUGGCCUUUAUGGUUGGUAAUAGUAUGGUUGUAACAACAAAGAGAUUGUCAGAGUAAUCAGAUAGUGAAACAGACAGUGAAACAGUAUGGUUGUAUCAACUUUCUUUUCAUUUCAUUUUCUAUAAAAACAUGUCUGUUCUUUUCUUUGCUAAAAGAAAACAGAUAGUGAAACAGUUGGACUCUGCACAGGUGAACAAUGCAGGGAUUGGUGGAAGUAUAGUAGAUGGUGAUGCUUUAAAAGCUGCUGUAGCCUCUGGUGCCAUGGUAAGUUUUUUGCAUAAUUUUUAUCAAUAGCUAUCAAAAACUAAAAGCUUCAAUGAAUGUGACAAAGUUAGAAUAUAAACUGAUCUGUGGUUUGGCAAACUUUAAUCAACAUUUUUCUUGUUUUGGGUGGGUGUGUAAGUGGUGGGCAAUAGGCACCUUAAUAAUAAGUUUGCUUUUACUGAUACAGGAAAGAGGAGAAGUUGAUUUGAGUAAACUAAUGACUGAAACUUAUGAGUUAACAGAAGAAUGCUUGCAAAUAAACUAUUAUGGUGCUAAAAGAACAGCUGAAGCACUUAUCCCACUCCUCCAGUUAUCUGACUCACCGAGAAUUGUUAAUGUUUCAUCUUCCAUGGGGAAGUUGGAGAAGAUACCAAGCCAUCGGGCUAGAAGAGUUUUUACUGAUGCUGAAAACCUAACAGAAGAGAGAGUAGAUGAGGUACUGACCGAGCUUCUAAAAGACUUCAAGGAGGGUUCACUUGAAAGGAAGGGCUGGCCUUCUUCUAUGUCUGCCUCUACAGUCUCAAAAGCAGCACUGAACGCAUAUACAAGAAUUCUAGCAAAGAAGUACCUCAAUUUUCGUAUCAAUUCAGUCUGCCCGGGCUUUGUCAAAACAGAUAUAAACUACAAUGUCGGUGUCCUACCUGUCGAAGAAGGGGCUGCAAGGGUUAUGAAGUUAGCAUUGCUGCCCAAUGAUGGCCCUACUGGCUCCUUCUUUGUUCACAAUGAAGUGUCGGAUCUUUGAUUGAAGAAGAUCCAUAUAUGCAAAUUUAAUACGAUUCGCUUAUUGGGCAACAUCUUGUACUGUAAUGUAAUUUUAAGUAUUUUGGACACCAACAGAUCCUUUUGACGUUCUUUCUACAUUCAAUAAGAGGAUGGCAUAUAUGAUGUUUUAUCUAUGUAAAAUUUCACCAUAGCACACUGUUUAAAUAACAAAAGAAAGGGUCAGGUGUUUCUGGCCUAACCGGAAGCUCCGAGCUGGCUUGAUAACCUUCCCCUUUGGUUUUAGAGAAAGACUUAGCUGUCCUAGGGUGACUACUCCUCUUUCUUUCCUGUAGCAUCUUGUGAUGCAUGCAAGUUUCUUGCGUUUUGAGAAGAGAGACAACGCUGCCAAAUAAAGGCUAAAAGAGUAUUGAGUAAGGCAGUCGCAUCUGAAAUCACAUACACAAGGAGUUUUUUUUCUUUUAGAAAUGGAAUUCAUUCAUAGAAUCAAAGUAGCGUAUAUAGAACGACACAAAACAGUGACCUAGUUAAAACAUUGUUUAGGGAUAAAUUUUAGGGUAGGAAAGAGUACCACAUAUAUCAUUGACUAACAAGAGAGUCUAAAACAAUCACGCAUGACCAAUGCUAGAGCAAGAUAAAAUAAAACAACAAAUUGACACAUAGACCUCCGACGAGAACACUAUAACAUAGUCCAAUUGCCAAAAGAGUCAUACUAUGAAAUUAUAGUCCUUUUGAAGCAACGAGAUAUAGGGAUAGGGAGAUCGAACGAUAACCUUACAAUUAACAAUGUCGGAAUCCACCAACAAACUAAUUCACCAGAGAGUAAAUCUCAAAUAUAUUGAUUGAAAAUGAGAUGAAUAAACUGACAAACACAAUGCCAUGAGUUGGCUUAAAUAGAAAACGAAGAAACCCUAAAACAGUAGGAAACCCUAUGUUCUAGUAUAUUCCUAAACUUACCUAACAAGAAAAUAAUAAAAAUCAUAGCUAAAAUCAUAAUAACAAAAUAAUAUCCUAAUAGAUAACUUAUUCUUCCAAAUAUAAAAUAAAACAUUAAAUUAAAUACAAUCUUGACAGAAUCAUAAUUGCUUCAAACUUCCUUAAUCAAUUAGAAAAUCCCAACGAUACGCCUUGCUUCUUUUCCUACAUUUAAUUGGAAUUUUCCUCUCUUGCAUGAUUUUCUUCCAACUUUGAGCCACUCCACUUUAUUUUAAUUAAUUUUUCACACUUCGUCCUACAUCACCAUUGCACAGCCACAAGACAUUGAGAGCACCCGAUAGAGAACACAAUACACCAAGAAGAAAGAAAACAUCCACUAAGCACACCAUCUCUAACCAACUCCAAUUGCAAUUGGUGAUGAAAGAAGAGAAAUAUGUAAGGAACAACACAAAGAAGAAACUAACCACACAAACAGGCCAGGAAAGAAAAUAAAAUAAAAAAAGCCCUCAAGCACGCUGUAUCAUCUCAACACUGACAAAGAAACCUCCUAUAAAAGCAUAGUCCUAGUGACAGGCGGAGAAUCAAAGAUCAAUUAAGAAGAGAACGAAGAAAACACCACGCAACAAUAACAAAAUUGGUCUAGCCAUUUAACAUGAAUACAGGGAUCAAGCACAAGAGCAUUCGCCAGAUGUCAAGCCCACGAAUGCUCCAAGAACACAUUAAGGAAGACUCCCAAGAGAUUCCAAAAACAAUAUCAUUAAUAUUGCAAACAAGCUAACUUUUCUUUUUUCAAAUUUACCCUUAUUAAAUAUUUUUAUUCAAAAAUUUUACAACUUUUUUAUUACUCUCUCCCACUAUCACAUUCUCUCUCUCACACACCCAGACCCAUCUUCAUAACCCACCACUCCACCCAGACCCAUCCUCACACUUGGACUCCAUUUAUUAAGCAAAUUGACACCUUCGCUUUGGCAAAGUCAACAAAUGAAACUUCACAUGCACCUCUUGAGUCUUAAUUGAGAAUCCUAACACGAUUUGUGAGCCUGCUCGUUUUGCAGAAAAAAAAUUUCCAGCUCCCUCCCCUUAACCCAAAUUCAAAACCAUUUGGAAGACUCCCACCGUCGCUUUUCCCCCUUCUCCAUCAUCCCUGCACUUAUACCUCACCAACCCUCCCUGCAAUUUCUCACCACACCCACCCCCACCCCCACCCCUUUCCCCAAUCUCUAUGUACAUCCUCCCUGAAAUUUGGGUUUCUGCAAAAGAACAAAAAAAAAAAAAAAAAAAAAAAAAAGAUGACAAAAUCAUCGUAUUCAUAUUUUUGUGGAUAGACGUGUGAAGGAGGUAUUGUAAAAUAAAUAAAUAAAGAUCAAACAUGGGUGGGGUGGAAAAUGAAUGUGGCUGUUGGGUUUUCAUCGGCGGGGGAGGAGUCGAGGUUGUGGUGGGAAAAUGAAAUUAAUGGCUGGGGUGGGAGGUGGGGGUGGCUGCGCAGGUGGGAGGAGAGAUGAGUUGUGGGUGUUGACUGCUGGGUUUUCCCAGAGGAGGGGGCCAGGGCGAGUUGGGGUGGGGAUCGGGUGAUUGAAAAACCCCUUUUUUUAUUGUUUAUUAUUUUUUUUUAAAAAAAAGGGUAAAUACGGAAAUACAAUUAAUGUUCUUUUGUGUAAUUAAAUUAUUAGUUUAAGUGAGAGGGAAGUGACAUGUGUCGUGAGUAAAAGAACGAAAAUUCAAAAGAGAAAGUUAGAAAAAAGAUGCUAGCAUUCCCCAUCCUUAAACACAAAAAUCCAAACAAAUCCGAUUACUUCUUAUCAUUUAUUUGAAUACAGACCUUUAAAUUCAAAGGCUUUCCAGAAGAGAAGGCCUCUUCCUUCUGUUCAAAGGCUUCCCAUUUCGAAUAUAUCAAUGGCAGAAGCAACAAAGAGGUAGCACUUUAGAGUCCUUUCUGCUUUGGUUCCUUGUCACAUCUCCAUUCGCUCUAAUUGUUUCUGCUUACCAUUUUUGUGUUAUGAAUUUGGUGUUUUUGUUUUUCCAGGUAUGCAGUUGUUACUGGGGCAAACAAAGGCAUAGGAUUGGAAACUGUGAGGCAAUUGGCCUCAAAUGGAUUCACUGUAGUUUUAACUGCCAGAGAUGAGAAAAGGGGUCUUGAAGCUGCUGAGAAACUCAAAGAGUCUGGCCUCUCAGGUCAAGUGGUUUUUCAUCAACUUGAUGUGGCUAACCCAGCUACUGUUGCUUCCUUGGCAGACUUCAUCAAAACCCAGUUUGGGAAACUCGAUAUCUUGGUAAGUAUAUGAUCAUAGCUGCAGGUUUCUUGAAAAAGUUUAUGUCUCUUGAAUUGAACUCUUAAUCCGAACGCGAUUUAAUUGAAGGAGAUGAAAUAUGGAAUCAUAUAGCAAAUGAAAUUGGAGAAUAAAAAUAGCAAACCAAGUGUUAACUAGCUUAAUAAAUGUCAUCAAGAAGUUAAUCUUUGAAAUAAUUAGAAGUCUUAGGGUUUUUGAAGAACAAAAUAAGUUUCACAUAAACUACCAGUUGUGGAAGAUUUUACCUUCAAAUCUAACUCUAUGUCUGCCACUCUGUUUUUGUUUCUUGGAAUCUUUUCAUAUAUGAUAUGAUCCCUUUCUGUACAAUUUACAAGUACCUUAGAAAGAUCCGUGGCUGGAAUUAAGGGGUUUGGCAAAGUAGCAUAAUUAUUGUGCUUCUUUAAAGGCAUUGGCCUUUAUGGUUGGUAUGGUUGUAAAAACAAAGAGAUUGUCAGAGUACUCAGAGGAUCUAUCAACUUACUUUUCAUUUCAUUUUCUAUAAAAUAAAAAAAUCUGUUCUUUUCUUUACUAAAAGAAAACAGAAAGUGAAACAGUUGGACUCUGCACAGGUGAACAAUGCAGGGAUUUUUGGAAGCAUAUUAGAUGGUGAUGCUUUUAAAGCUGUAAUAGCCUCUGGUGCCGUGGUAAGUCUUUUGCAUAAUUUUUAUCAAUAGCUAUCAAAAACUAAAAGCUUCAAUGUAUGUGCCAAAGUGAGAAUUUAAACUGAUCUGUGGUUUGGCAAACUUUAAUAAACAUUUUUCUUGUUUGGGGUGUUGUGUAAGUGGUGGGCAAUAGGCAUCAUAAUAAUAAGUUUGCUUUUGUUGAUACAGGAAGGAGGAGAAGUUGAUUUGAGUAAACUAGUGACUGAAACGUAUGAGUUAACAGAAAAAUGCUUGCAAAUAAACUAUUAUGGUGCUAAAAGAACAGCUGAAGCACUUAUCCCACUCCUCCAGUUAUCUGACUCACCGAGAAUUGUUAAUGUUUCGUCUGGCUCGGGGAAGUUAAAGAAGAUACCAAGUGAUUGGGCUAAAGGAGUUUUUACUGAUGCCGAAAACCUAACAGAAGAGAGAGUAGAUAAGGUACUGACUGAGCUUCUAAAAGAUUUCAAGGAGGGUUCACUUGAAAGUAAGGGCUGGCCUUCUUCUAUGCCUGCCUAUAUAGUCUCAAAAGCAGCACUGAACGCAUAUACAAGGAUUCUAGGAAAGAAGUACCCCACUUUUCGUAUCAAUUCAGUCUGCCCUGGCUUUGUCAAAACAGAUAUAAACUUCAAUGCCGGCGUCUUGCCUGUCGAAGAGGGUGGUGCCAGGAUUGUAAAGUUAGCAUUGCUGCCCAAUGAUGGCCCUACUGGCUCCUUCUUUGUUCACGAUGAAGUGUCAGAUUUUUGAUUGAAGAUGAUCCAUUUAUGCAAAUUUAAUACGAGUCAUUUAUUGGGCAACAUUUGGUACUGUAAUGUAAUUUUAAGUAUUUUGGUAUGUAUAUUGAUUGAAGGAUCUAGUGCAUUGUUUACAUUUCUAC
rnacentral:lncRNA from 1 species